rnacentral:rRNA from 1 species
GAUGAACGCUGGCGGCGUGCCUAAUACAUGCAAGUCGAGCGAACGGACGAGAAGCUUGCUUCUCUGAUGUUAGCGGCGGACGGGUGAGUAACACGUGGAUAACCUACCUAUAAGACUGGGAUAACUUCGGGAAACCGGAGCUAAUACCGGAUAAUAUUUUGAACCGCAUGGUUCAAAAGUGAAAGACGGUCUUGCUGUCACUUCUCGAUGGAUCCGCGCUGCAUUAGCUAGUUGGUAAGGUAACGGCUUACCAAGGCAACGAUGCAUAGCCGACCUGAGAGGGUGAUCGGCCACACUGGAGCGGAGACACGGUCCAGAGUCCUACGGGAGGCAGCAGUAGGGAAUGUUCCGCAGAGGGCGAAAGCCUGACGGAGCAACGCCGCGUGAGUGAUGGAGGUCUUCGGAUCGUAAAACUCUGUUAUUAGGGAAGAACAUAUGUGUAAGUAACUGUGCACAUCUUGACGGUACCUAAUCAGAAAGCCACGGCUAACUACGUG